UACGUAGGGUGCAAGCGUUUGUCCGGAAUUAUUGGGCGUAAAGAGCUCGUAGGCGGUCUGUCGCGUCGGAUGUGAAAACCCAGGGCUCAACCCUGGGCCUGCAUUCGAUACGGGCAGACUAGAGUUCGGUAGGGGAGACUGGAAUUCCUGGUGUAGCGGUGAAAUGCGCAGAUAUCAGGAGGAACACCGGUGGCGAAGGCGGGUCUCUGGGCCGAAACUGACGCUGAGGAGCGAAAGCGUGGGGAGCAAACAGG
rnacentral:rRNA from 1 species